rnacentral:rRNA from 1 species
GUCCUACGGGACGCAGCAGUGAGGAAUAUUGGUCAAUGGGCGCGAGCCUGAACCAGCCAAGUCGCGUGAGGGAAGACGGUCCUAUGGAUUGUAAACCUCUUUUGUCGGGGAGCAAAAGACGCCACGCGUGGCGUUCCGAGAGUACCCGAAGAAAAAGCAUCGGCUAACUCCGUGCCAGCAGCCGCGGUAAUACGGAGGAUGCGAGCGUUAUCCGGAUUUAUUGGGCGUAAAGCGAGUGCAGGCGGAUCAAUAAGUCUGAUGUGAAAGCCUUCGGCUCAACCGGAGAAUUGCAUC